rnacentral:tRNA from 1 species
GCCGGGGUGGUGGAAUUGGUAGACACGCCGGUCUCAAAAACCGGUGGGAGCAAUCCCGUGUCGGUUCGACUCCGACCCUCGGCA